AAGCGUAAUAGCUCACUGAUCGAGUCGUCCUGCGCGGAAGAUGUAACGGGGCUAAGCCAUAUACCGAAGCUGCGGAUGCGAGCUAGUCUCGCAUGGUAGGAGAGCGUUCCGUAAGCCUGCGAAGGUGCGUUGAAAAGCGUGCUGGAGGUAUCGGAAGUGCGAAUGCUGACAUGAGUAGCGAUAAAGGGGGUGAAAGGCCCCCUCGCCGUAAGCCCAAGGUUUCCUACGCAACGUUCAUCGGCGUAGGGUGAGUCGGCCCCUAAGGCGAGGCAGAAAUGCGUAGCUGAUGGGAAGCAGGUCAAUAUUCCUGCACCGUCGUUAGAUGCGAUGGGGGGACGGAUCGCGGAAGGUUGUCCGGGUGUUGGAAGUCCCGGUCGCUGCAUUGGAGAAGGCGCUUAGGCAAAUCCGGGCGCAGGAUUCAAGGGUGUGGCGCGAGCUCCUUCGGGAGCGAAGCAAUUGGAAGUGGUUCCAAGAAAAGCCUCUAAGCUUCAGUCUAACGAUGACCGUACCGCAAACCGACACAGGUGGGCGAGAUGAGUAUUCUAAGGCGCUUGAGAGAACUCGGGAGAAGGAACUCGGCAAAUUGGUACCGUAACUUCGGGAUAAGGUACGCCCUGGUAGCUUGACUGGCCUGCGCCAGAAGGGUGAAGGGGUUGCAAUAAACUGGUGGCUGCGACUGUUUAAUAAAAACACAGCACUCUGCAAACACGAAAGUGGACGUAUAGGGUGUGACGCCUGCCCGGUGCCGGAAGAUUAAAUGAUGGGGUGCAAGCUCUUGAUUGAAGUCCCGGUAAACGGCGGCCGUAACUAUAACGGUCCUAAGGUAGCGAAAUUCCUUGUCGGGUAAGUUCCGACCUGCACGAAUGGCGUAACGAUGGCCACACUGUCUCCUCCCGAGACUCAGCGAAGUUGAAGUGUUUGUGAUGAUGCAAUCUACCCGCGGCUAGACGGAAAGACCCCAUGAACCUUUACUGUAGCUUUGCAUUGGACUUUGAACCGAUCUGUGUAGGAUAGGUGGGAGGCUAUGAAACCGGAACGCUAGUUUCGGUGGAGCCGUCCUUGAAAUACCACCCUGGUUUGUUUGAGGUUCUAACCUUGGCCCGUGAUCCGGGUCGGGGACAGUGCAUGGUAGGCAGUUUGACUGGGGCGGUCUCCUCCCAAAGCGUAACGGAGGAGUACGAAGGUACGCUAGGUACGGUCGGAAAUCGUGCUGAUAGUGCAAUGGCAUAAGCGUGCUUAACUGCGAGACCGACAAGUCGAGCAGGUGCGAAAGCAGGUCAUAGUGAUCCGGUGGUUCUGUAUGGAAGGGCCAUCGCUCAACGGAUAAAAGGUACUCUGGGGAUAACAGGCUGAUACCGCCCAAGAGUUCAUAUCGACGGCGGUGUUUGGCACCUCGAUGUCGGCUCAUCUCAUCCUGGGGCUGUAGCCGGUCCCAAGGGUAUGGCUGUUCGCCAUUUAAAGAGGUACGUGAGCUGGGUUUAAAACGUCGUGAGACAGUUUGGUCCCUAUCUGCCGUGGGCGUUGGAAGUUUGAAGGGGGCUGCUCCUAGUACGAGAGGACCGGAGUGGACGAACCUCUGGUGUACCGGUUGUGACGCCAGUCGCAUCGCCGGGUAGCUAUGUUCGGAAGAGAUAACCGCUGAAAGCAUCUAAGCGGGAAACUCGCCUUAAGAUGAGACUUCCCCGGGGACUUGAUCCCCUUGAAGGGUCGUUCGAGACCAGGACGUUGAUAGGUCGGGUGUGUAAGCGCAGUAAUGCGUUCAGCUAACCGAUACUAAUUGCCCGUACGGCUUGAUC
rnacentral:rRNA from 1 species